GGCCAUAGCUCAGUGGUAGAGCACAUACUUUGCAUGCAGAAGGUCCAGGUUCAGUCUCUGGCAUCUCCA